ACAGGCUGCCUCGCUAAACGAUGCACACCUGUAACACGUGACCCUGAUUAUUAUUGAAACGAGAACGAGGGCGUCGUGCCUUUAUAAGACUGCGUUAAUGUUUCCGUGGAGUUAUCCCUUCCGUUGUUUUUUUUUAUUGCUUGUCGAACAUGGCGUCAUUUGCAAAGGUUGUUGUGUGUCUCCUCAUUGCUUGUGUCUGUAAUGCAUUCUGUUUUCCGAAGAGAGAUGUGAACUUUAAGGCCUCUGCAGUUGACAGCCAAAGUGAUGAUGUGGUUGUCACCACAACACCCGUUCCCCACAACCAGACCACAUCUGCCCAUACUGAAGCUGGUGGUGGUGCAAGUGAAGAUGCUGUGGCUACUACCCCAGCACCUAAUCCACACAACCAGACAGCUUCUGAAGUUACUGAUGGAGCCAGUGAAGAUGCUGUGGACCGCCAAAGUGAUGAUGUGGUUGUCGCCACAACACCCGAUCCCCACAACCAGACCACAUCUGCCCAUACUGAAGCUGGUGAUGGAGCCAGUGAAGAUGCUGUGGACCGCCAAAGUGAUGAUGUGGUUGUCGCCACAACACCCGAUCCCCACAACCAGACCACAUCUGCCCAUACUGAAGCUGGUGAUGGAGCAGGUGAAGCUGCUGUGGCUACCACCCCAACACCAAAUCCCCCAACUACAUCUGACCACACUGCAGCUACCGAUGAUUCAAGUGAGAGUGCUGUGGCUGCCCAAACUGGAACUACUGUAUCCCAUACGACUGAAGUCUGAUUCGACUGCUCCUCUGGUCACGAUGACCUGAGUCACUGUCUGGACUUUUUGCCUCUACAUGUUGACUGCAAUAAAGGACAGAUUUGUUUUUUGAAUCAAAUGUUUGUCUUGCCUUUUUCAUAUUGAGGCCUUAUCCUGUUUUGG
ensembl:lncRNA